rnacentral:rRNA from 1 species
AGCGGCGGACGGGUGAGUAACGCGUGGGUAACCUGCCUCAUACAGGGGGAUAACAGUUAGAAAUGACUGCUAAUACCGCAUAAGACCACAGCACCGCAUGGUGCAGGGGUAAAAACUCCGGUGGUAUGAGAUGGACCCGCGUCUGAUUAGUUAGUUGGUGGGGUAACGGCCUACCAAGGCGACGAUCAGUAGCCGACCUGAGAGGGUGACCGGCCACAUUGGGACUGAGACACGGCCCAA